CAACGCGAAGAACCUUACCUGGUCUUGACAUCCACAGAAGAAUCCAGAGAUGGAUUUGUGCCUUCGGGAACUGUGAGACAGGUGCUGCAUGGCUGUCGUCAGCUCGUGUUGUGAAAUGUUGGGUUAAGUCCCGCAACGAGCGCAACCCUUAUCCUUUGUUGCCAGCGGUUAGGCCGGGAACUCAAAGGAGACUGCCAGUGAUAAACUGGAGGAAGGUGGGGAUGACGUCAAGUCAUCAUGGCCCUUACGACCAGGGCUACACACGUGCUACAAUGGCGCAUACAAAGAGAAGCGACCUCGC
rnacentral:rRNA from 1 species